AUUGAACGCUGGCGGCAGGCCUAACACAUGCAAGUCGAGCGAGCGGCGGACGGGUGAGUAAUGUAUGGGAAUCUGCCCGAUAGAGGGGGAUAACUACUGGAAACGGUGGCUAAUACCGCAUACUAUCGGAUGAACCCAUAUGGGAUUAGCUAGUAGGUGGGGUAAAGGCUCACCUAGGCGACGAUCUCUAGCUGGUCUGAGAGGAUUACCAGGCACAACUGGACUGAGACACGGCCCAGACUCCCACGGGAGGCAGGAGGGGGGAAAAUUGGAACAUGGGCGCAAGCCUGAUGGAGCCAUGCCGCGUGUAUGAAGAAGGCCUUAGGGUUGUAAAGUACUUUCAGCGGGGAGGCCUUACCCGCAGAAGAAACAACGGCUAACUCCGUGCCAGCCGCCGCGGGAAUUC
rnacentral:rRNA from 1 species